UUGAUUACAAUGUUUAUAUUAGUGAACAUAAUAUUCUGCAGGUUGUCGAAUGUUUACAAAAUAGUGUAGGACAAAAAAAAUUAAAUUUAGAUGACUAGAUUAUAUGUUUUCCAAUUCUGUACUCCAAUACUCCAAUGUUUUUCGUCGACUCCAUAGAACUUAAAUUAAUAUUAGGAUAUUUAUCAAAUAUAUCUCUUUGUAACAUUUAAAUUGCAAUAAUACAAUCUUCUUCCAAAAAUUACAUAUUUACUUCUUUUUUUUUAAAUCUACAAUCUAUUUUGCUAAUAUACGUCUGCGUCUCCCGUUUCUCACCUUGAUCUGUCUCGUUCACUCUUUGUCUCUCUCUCUCUCUCCUCCAUCUUUCCUGGCUCUCGCUCUCGCGCGCUGUCUCUCUCUGUCGCUCAUUUCUCUUUCCUUCUCUCCGUCUCGUCUUUCUCACUGCCAACUCUCUCGAACUUUCAAUUGAUGAGAUGAAUUGUUGAUUAGGAUUCCAGAUUUUGGGAAAAUCAAAAAUUAAUUCCAAAAAUUGAUUAAUAGGUGGGAAAGAUUAGCGGAGAAAGAUAAAAGACACACACAAUAUGAGCCCACACACAAUAUGAGCCCAGAAGAAGUGAGAAAGACCUGAGUAGAAACUUCUAAAAGUGGCUGCCUGCAUCGGUUCUGUUGAGCAUACUUACCCAUGGAAUACUACUAAACUAGUACUAGUGUGUCUGGAAGCAUCGCUGCUGGGAAAUAAAGAAUUUAAUUUUAUGGGUUCAUGAUAUGUUUUUGUUUCUUGUUAUACUUCAUCUCUCUAGAAAAUUUUGAUGGGUGUCGAUUGUUUUUGUUAAUUGAUUUUGCUUUUGGCUCCGGAAGGACAUUUAUUUUUCCGCAUUUACAAUUAAUUGUAACUUAAUAUAAUUUGUGUAACUUAUUAUAUAACUUAAUAUAAUUUUAGUAAUAUUUUUAAAAAGUUACAUAUGUAGUUGCAAGUAUGAUUAU
rnacentral:lncRNA from 1 species